AAAGGAGCCACGUCUAUUUCCUGCUUUUUACGUUCUCGUCAUAGAGUUGAUAACGGCGGGUAACAGAGGAAGCUGAGUAAAAGAUUAAUACAAAUAAGAUUUACACCAUCGGUCUAUGCAGUAAUCUAGUUAAAGACAUGGCAAAGUUAGUAAGGAGCUUUUUCUUCACUCUGGAUUUAAGAGGACCAGUCGUAUUUCAGGAGUUUCACUCUGAGUCCUGACCUCCUCUUUGUGCUUCUGUGGCUUAAUAGGCCAUAAAUUGGUCACCGUGGCGACCAGCAGGAUUAUUGAAAGUUCCUCGUCUGACUUUCUGAGUGCUCACUGUGGCUCCGCUCUGCAGCUGGUCUCCUUUUCCACAGUGCAGUGACACAGUGUUGAAGAGAAAACACGAUGGCGCACUCCACUCCUCGCACACUCGAUCACUCAGGAAACGCAGGGGUUGGUCCAGGGAAUGAGGGUCGGCAACGGUCCAGCGACGAGAAACGCAGAGCUGCCGUCUUAUAAAGGAGCUGGAACACUC